UGGUUCUGGCAUCGAUGAAGAACGCAGCGAAAUGCGAUAAGUAAUGCGAAUUGCAGAAUUCCAGUGAGUCAUCGAAUCUUUGAACGCACAUUGCGCCCUUUGGUAUUCCGAAGGGCAUGCCUGUUCGAGCGUCAUUAUCACCCCUCGAGCCCUCUGGGUUUGAUGUUGGACGGCCUGGUCGGGGCUCUGCCCCUGACCCCUCCUAAAGACAAUGACGGCGGCCUUGUGGGACCCCCGGUACACUGAGCUUCUUAACUGAGCACGUAUCGGAUCGAGGGUGCCCGGGACACGGUCUCUCCUUCCACCCCUUCACGGGGGAGGAAAACUCCUUUCUAAGGUUGACCUCGGAUCAGGUAGGAAUACCCGCUGA
rnacentral:misc_RNA from 1 species